rnacentral:rRNA from 1 species
AUUGAACGCUGGCGGCAGGCCUAACACAUGCAAGUCGAACGGUAACAGGAAACAGCUUGCUGUUUCGCUGACGAGUGGCGGACGGGUGAGUAAUGUCUGGGAAACUGCCUGAUGGAGGGGGGUAACUACUGGAAACGGUAGCUAAUACCGCAUAACGUCGCAAGACCAAAGAGGGGGACCUUCGGGCCUCUUGCCAUCGGAUGUGCCCAGAUGGGAUUAGCUAGUAGGUGGGGUAACGGCUCACCUAGGCGACGAUCCCUAGCUGGUCUGAGAGGAUGACCAGCCACACUGGAACUGAGACACGGUCCAGACUCCUACGGGAGGCAGCAGUGGGGAAUAUUGCACAAUGGGCGCAAGCCUGAUGCAGCCAUGCCGCGUGUAUGAAGAAGGCCUUCGGGUUGUAAAGUACUUUCAGCGGGGAGGAAGGGAGUAAAGUUAAUACCUUUACUCAUUGACGUUACCCGCAGAAGAAGCACCGGCUAACUCCGUG